GCUUGACACCAAAUUGGAGUUGAAGAAGCAAAACACAAAAACAACUUAACACACACUCAGAGUUCACUUCUGUUAGGAAAUUCAAGUGUUGGAAUUUUGGCACCAAAUUUUACCAGCAACUUCCCCACAUCAUAUUUAGAUGUCCCAUCAAAUUUCAGCUCACUCUAAGUUGGUUUGCUAUAUGGCACAGUGUGACCAGCAAUUUGGUACUUGAAAUUUGUUCUGCCAAAAAUGGGUGAAUGUUAACUUGAAAUUUGAUAUGGAGACUCCCAAUACAUUGUAU
rnacentral:misc_RNA from 1 species